rnacentral:lncRNA from 1 species
CUCGAUGUUCAUUGUACCAUUCUUCUCUUUUUUGAUAACAUCAAAAAGCUCACGAGAGGAGCAAGAAAUAUCAUCAAAAUCAACAUGAGAAAUAAUUUUAAAAAUGCACCAAAGUGAGAGGUGCAUAAGAUUCAAAAAAUUAAAUUGAAUAAAUCAUCUCCCCUUUGAAAAUUAAAAUAUUUUAUUUUAUAAAAUAUUUUUUUCACUUUUGGAAAUUAGUUUGAAUUCAAGUAUCAAAGCCUUUCCCCCAUUUUGGAUGAAUAUGACACCUUAAUCAGAUUUUUAAAUAUGCACUUUUAAGCUUUAAAAGAAAUAGAGCUUUUCUUUGAACAAAGAAAUCAAGCAUAACAUUUAAAUCAAUAUUGUUCUUUCCUUUUCUUAAUAAAUUUCGAUCAAUUAAGUUUAGAAAAAGUAUGUAUCAAAAAUGUAUC